AAUUAUUUCAUUAAAUAUAUAACUAAUUUUUUGCACAUGUACACUCACAUAAUUAAGAAGCCAAACGGCGAAUCCUUCAUGUCUGAGUUGUUGAAGCUCUUUUUCUGUAGCGUGUAUGUAAGUCAACCGCAGCUCUGCCAUAUAAAUACUAUACAAAAGUGAUGUCAUUAAUUAAUCUAAAAAUAAAAUUUAAUAAACAAUAUGACCUUUUAAAUGGAAUAAAAAUUUUCACCUCUCAUAUUGUAGAAGAUUUUCACAGUUGGUGAGCAAAUAUGUAUGCAAAUGAGCGUGUUCCCUCUC
rnacentral:lncRNA from 1 species